ensembl:snRNA U6 U6 spliceosomal RNA
GUGCUCACUUCUGUAGCACAUAUACUAAAACUGGAAUGAUACAGAGAAGAUUAGCAUGGCCCCUGCACAAGGAUGACAUGCAAAUUCAUGGAGCGUUCCAUAUUUUU